rnacentral:rRNA from 1 species
GGAUUAGAUACCCUGGUAGUCCACGCCCUAAAUGGUGAGAGCUAGACGUUGGAAUUUAUUUCAGUGUCGUAGUUAACACGAUAAGCUCUCCGCCUGGGUAGUAUAGUCGCAAGACCUAAACUCAAAGAAAUUGACGGGGACCCGCACAAGCGGUGGAAUAUGUGGUUUAAUUCGAUGGUACACGAAAAACCUUACCUGCUCUUGACAUAUAAACAGCAGACAAAAGAAACUUUGUCUUCGGUUCGGCCGGGUUUAUACAGAUGGUGCAUGGCCGUCGUCAGCUCGUGUCG